UUCUGCAAGGGAUUGGAGUGGCAUCCUUUUCAUCGAAAAGAUAUAGCGUAAAGCCCGUCCAAGG
rnacentral:sRNA from 1 species